UAGAAAUUAUUGUGGGAAGC
rnacentral:piRNA from 1 species